rnacentral:rRNA from 1 species
UGAGGAAUAUUGCACAAUGGGCGCAAGCCUGAUGCAGCAACGCCGCGUGCGGGACGACGGCCUUCGGGUUGUAAACCGCUUUUCUGAGGGACGAGCGAGGACGGUACCUUAGGAAUAAGUCUCGGCUAACUACGUGCCAGCAGCCGCGGUAAAACGUAGGAGGCGAGCGUUAUCCGGAUUUACUGGGCGUAAAGCGCGCGCAGGUGGCCGUGUAAGUUGGACGUGAAAGCUCCUGGCUUAACUGGGAGAGGUCGUUCGAUACUGCGGGGCUUGAGGUUGGGAGAGGGGUGUGGAAUUCCCGGUGUAGUGGUGGAAUGCGUAGAUAUCGGGAGGAACACCAGUGGCGCAAGCGGCGUCCUGGCCCACACCUGACGCUGAGGUACGAAAGCGUGGGUAGCAAACAG